AACGAACGCUGGCGGCGUGGAUAAGACAUGCAAGUCGAACGCUAUCCGGGGAGCAGCAAUGUUUUCCGGGUGGAGUGGCGCAAGGGUGUGUAACACGUGGGUAAUUUGCCGCAAAGUUUGGAAUAACUCGCUGAAAGGCGAGCUAAUGCCAAAUAACAUCUCCUGUGGGCAUUCAUGGGAGAUUAAAGCUGGGGCUCGAAAGACCUGAUGCUUUGCGAUAAGCCCGCGGCCUAUCAGCUAGUUGGCGAGGUAAAGGCUCACCAAGGCUAAGACGGGUAACUGGUCUGAGAGGACGACCAGUCACACUGGAACUGAGACACGGUCCAGACACCUACGGUGGCAGCAGUCGAGAAUUUUUCACAAUGGGGGAAACCCUGAUGGAGCGACGCCGCGUGGGGGAUGAAUGGCUUCGGCCCGUAAACCCCUGUCAUUUGUGAACAAGAUGUUUCAGAAACACUGGGAACGUUGAUAGUAGCAGAAGAGGAAGGGACGGCUAAAC
rnacentral:rRNA from 1 species